rnacentral:rRNA from 1 species
AGCGAACGCUGGCGGCAGGCCUAACACAUGCAAGUCGAACGAACGUUUCGGGGUUAGUGGCGGACGGGUGAGUAACACGGGGGAACGUGCCUUUAGGUUCGGAAUAACUCAGGGAAACUUGUGCUAAUACCGAAUGUGCCCUUCGGGGGAAAGCGUAAUCGAUUUUUGAGCGGCCAGCGCCUGAUUGGCUAGUCGGGUGAGGUAAUGGCUCACCAAGGCGGCGAACAGUAGCGGGUCUGAGAGCAGGGUCAGCCACAUUGGGACUGAGACACGGCCCAAACUCCUACGGGAGGCAGCAGUGGGGAAUCUUGCGCAACGGGCCAGAGUCUGACGGAGCCAUGCCGCGUGAAGUAAGAAGCUUUUAGGAGGGGAAAAUUCUUUCACCGGGGACGAAAAUGACGGUACCCGGAGAAUAAGCCCCGGCUAACUUCGUG